CUGUUAACUCUACACAGUCCGACUCUAUCACCCGCUCGCUCUCUCUCUCCUCGAUUGAAAUCGCUUCAAAGCUUCGAUCAGAGCCAAAGUUUACGUCUAAAGCGCCGACGAAGCUGGAACCUUCAUGGCAAAUCCAUCUAGUAGAGCUCCCGUCUCAUCUCUGAGGACCCCCGAAAUAGCUCCUUCAGUUGCGCCUUCAAGGAAAGCUCCAUCUAUAUUGAUUUUGAAGGUAAGGUUUUUCGGUGGGAUCCAAUUCUUUGUCGAUUGAAUUGAGUCGUUUCUGUGUAAAGUUUCAAACUUUGAUUGUUCCACUUGUUGAAAUUUCCGAGCAUCGUCCGCGCGGAGUCAAUUAGGGUUCUUGAAUUUGGCGGUUUUCUUCGGAAUACAAAAUCGUUCCUCGCUUUCUAGAUAAACCAUAAGAUAGCCGCGACUGCAUCGAAGGAUCUGUCCAAACCGAGUUUGUCCAAGAACAGAGCAAGAAUAGGUGUUCCACUGAUUCCUCUUCUUGAUCACAGAAAGGGCAUGCUGGCGUAGGCAUUAGAACAAACGCUGGGUGUGCAUUCACUCAGCAAUGAAAUAUGGGGCAGGGAACCACUCGAGUAUCGGCAUCACCGAGACGCUGCCAAAGGAACAUCUCCUUCGCUGAUGCACAACCAGCGGAGAACAAGACAGCACGGACGAAACAGAUCGGCUUUGUCGCAGUCAGGGGGUAUCGGCAAACCUUGAAUGAAAAAUCGAUGAAGAAAGAAGUAAGUAAAGAUGAUGCGUUGAAGAA